ACCCUAACCCUUUUUGGGAACAAAGAAGGUAUGGGAUAAAAAACCUACCACAGGGGCAUACAGCUCCUCGUCAGAGCAACCUGUGGUAGGUCAAUGUCUGAAAGGGCAUUGGGUAGCCCGAGAGGGCUAUC
rnacentral:sRNA from 12 species